AGCGAACGCUGGCGGCAGGCCUAACACAUGCAAGUCGAACGAAGCCUUCGGGCUUAGUGGCGGACGGGUGAGUAACACGUGGGAACGUACCUUUUGGUUCGGAACAACUCAGGGAAACUUGAGCUAAUACCGGAUGAGCCCUUAGGGGGAAAGAUUUAUCGCCGAAAGAGCGGCCCGCGUUAGAUUAGCUAGUUGGUGAGGUAAAGGCUCACCAAGGCAACGAUCUAUAGCUGGUCUGAGAGGGUGAUCAGCCACACUGGGACUGAGACACGGCCCAGACUCCUACGGGAGGCCGCAGUGGGGAAUCUUGCGCAAUGGGCGAAAGCCUGACGCAGCCAUGCCGCGUGAAUGAUGAAGGUCUUAGGAUUGUAAAAUUCUUUUACCAGGGACGAUAAUGACGGUACCUGGAGAAAAAGCCCCGGCUAACUUCGUGCCAGCAGCCGCGGUAAAAC
rnacentral:rRNA from 1 species